UUUAAUAUGGCAGAUAAGUGCAAUAGAUUUAAGCUCUAUUUAUGAAGAUUUUAUUCUUUUAUUAAAA
rnacentral:tRNA from 1 species